GUAUGUGAGGGUGAUCUGAACCUACUGGUUGUCAGGGUUGACUGAAAUGAUCUGGUUGGGUAAGUGGAUAUCCCCUUCAUUCCUUACUGAUUCAGCUGUGUCCCUCCCAAAGCUGUGCUUCCCUCCAAAAAACCCUUCAAAAACAAUCUUUGGGCUAGGGAUGUAGUCCAGUGGUGAGGGACUCGUGUUAGGCAUUAGGUCUGCUUCACAACUGAUGAUUACAAUUUUCUGGGUCUUAUC
ensembl:misc_RNA 7SK 7SK RNA